UAACCAUGGUGGGGGCAUUCAAGCUGGUAACUCUUGAAUCUCUCCCAAGCUUUUCUGAAUGAUUCUCAUGGAUCUUGGCGAAAUGUGGAGAUUUUCCUUCUUAUAUC